GUCCCUGUAGCACAUUGGAUAGUGCGUUGGACUUCAAAUCAAAAGGUCGUGGGUUGGAAUCCCACUGGGGAUG